rnacentral:rRNA from 1 species
ACGCUCGACACCUACUGGAGGCAGCAGUGGGGAAUAUUGCACAAUGGGGGAAACCCUGAUGCAGCGACGCCGCGUGAGCGAAGAAGUAUUUCGGUAUGUAAAGCUCUAUCAGCAGGGAAGAAACUGACGGUACCUGACCAAGAAGCACCGGCUAAAUACGUGUCAGCAGCCGCGGUAAUCUGAGCGGGCUGGCAAGGC